GUGGAAUGAAGAGCAUCAAAAGGAUAAGAGAGCAAUCUACAGGAAAUCAUAUCUGACCACUCACAGUAUCAACAGCAAUUCAACAGCAGGAUACCCAUGAGCACUGGGCAGUCCAGGACAUCCAAGGAGACAGCUAACCAAAGGAACUUCAGCAUCUGGAAGGCUGGACCAAGGUAGGGGUGCACUUGACAGGGAUGUCCACUGACCACGCACCUCAAAAGGUGACACGGCUCAUUACCAGCCAGUUUUUUUUGGUGAGAAGUGACCAGGCCCUAAUGCGUCAGUGUGAGCACACUGGCUUGAGAUAACUGGUUGGGCCUGGCUAAAUAUGAGACCAGAUAUUAGACAAAAUGCCUUUUUACCCCAAGGUGGGGGAGGGAGAUGGAAAGGGCCUCUUGUAUCUGCAGGGUCUGCAUGCCCUGCACUCGUGCCAACAGGAGGGUUCCACUGGCACAAGGAGCUCCAGCACGCUCAUCCUCCAGGUUCAAAACACAUCCCCGCAGCCUUCAACGCGCCUGACAUCCUUUCAAGUGAGCAACUACGAGGCAAAUGCAAACAGAGCGCGUUCUGGAGGCGUCCCGUCACUCAGCCCUCAAUCUGUCUGUUCUUCCAGACACUCCUUCUCCUGCCUGAUUUAUUUCAUAUUAAAAGGGCUGUCAAUCUGUAUCACAGGAACAGGUUGGGAAAAGUGAGUGAUGUUUGCCAAGUGGGUUUUUUGUUGUUGUUUGUUAUUGUUAAAAAUAAUCGUCUCCCUCUCUCUGGCCAUACUCCUGCCUCUCCCCACACAGCUCUUCUAGUCCCUGCUUGCCUUUCUCUGCAGGUAUCUACACAUCGGAGGUACGGGCUGCACGUACCAGAUGCAUUUACAUUAGAAACGUGGUAUAAGAAGGCUGUGGCAGACCAGUUUUUAUGAUCCGUCAAAUAUAUCUCCUUUUACCAUCAGAUGGCUUGGCAACAGGACCAUUCUUCUUUUGAAUAAAAUAAAUGUGCCUGCUACAUGGCAGAAUAUUCAGCAUUGUGGAGGCUCUGUCCUGGCCAGUGUGGGCUGCAUCCUGUGGGCUUUGUGACAGCGGGAUGCUAGGAUGCAAUCUGCAGUUCCCGGUGGGAUUGCAUUAUAUGGUGCCAGCUGCAUUAUGUUAGGGUGUUAAUUACUGCCUUCUCCUGUCAUUGAGGCUAGCUUCCCUUACUUUUCUCUGCUAUUCUGGCCUAUGAAGAGAAUUACUCCAUCAUUC